UCAGGGACAUUUUAUUAGAUACCAAGGAUUCAAAGCUCAAUAAGAUAUGAUCUUUGAUCUCUCAGUUAGCAAAGUAUUUACAGGGCACAAUGAAUUACAAAGGAAGGUAUGGUUAGUUCUACUCAGUAAUCAGAGAGAAGACCACAGUAUGUUUCCUAUGUUUGGGUACUUUUUUCAUAUCUUUGCUUAUGCUGUACUACUUUGCUUCAUGGAUUACUAAGAAAACAGGCAACACACAAGGACACUUUGACAAAAGAAUCUUUACAGCCACAGAAAAAUACAAAAUCACUACGCUCCAUAAACUACAUGACUAGAAGGGAAAAGUAAAAGUAGCAUUGACCCAUCUCUGUCUUCACUCUUCAGAUACAGUAUACUUAAAUAAUGUGGUUUUUUUAAUACUCCCUGAUGUUAUUUUUGUUUGUGCUAUAUCUCGCACACGACACAGUCAACUACUUGAAAGCAGAAAUAGACUGUGUUUUAUUUAUCUUUACAUUCCCCUCAGUCUUGACAGAGUGCCUUACCCAUAUUAGGAGCUGAGUGAAUUAUUUGUUGAAUGUAUGAAUGAGUGGAUAGCUAGUUAUAUAUGGUAUGUGAGGUAUCCUUCUAAGUGCUUUACCUAUAUUUACUCAUGGUAUCUUCCCAGCAAUCCUGUGAAGUAGAUUCUACUUAUUCCUCAUUCUACAAAUGAGGAAAGUAAUACCCAGAGAGGCUGUUACCUACCAAAGAGCCUGUAGGUAAGAACUGGAUGGCAAACCCAGGCAACCUGGUUUUAGACUGCUCUAGCUGCUGUCUUAGUUUUGAAAAACAAACUUAUUGAAAUACUUCAUUAACGAAUAGGAGACAGAAAGAAAACACGAAUGUUGUACAUUUUAACAGCAACAGCAACUGGUCACCUACGACGGAAACAGAAAGAUUACACUUAGCAUAGAAUUUGUCAAAGCAUGAAGGUGUUAUCCAUUAACUGGAUGAGUCAAAUGAUGCAAGGGAAAACCUUCAACCGUGAGUGAAAGCAGUCAUCUGAGUGGCUGUUAGUAUUGUCUGAGGGCUGAGAAAUGACUCCCUUUUGUUCUUAGGUAGACAUGCAGAAACAAACAAAACGAAGCGACAGUUUGUUUCACCUCUUGGUGAUGCAAAGAAACCACAUUGUGAGUUCGGUAGACAGCAAAUUAUUUGACUCGCACAAUAAAGUUUAAUAAACCUGGCUGUUGUAGAGGAAACUCAAGACUUUAACAAUAGCAACGAGAACAACAGCAGCAACAGCAGGACUUUCUUGGUGUUCCUGGCCAUCUGCCUGACGUCCAGAGUUGCCUGCAUUCUGACAAGACAGAAUGGCUCACCUAGCUUCAGAACAACAUCAGAGGUGCCAACACAAAGUAGACCAGAUACACUGUCCAAAAUACCCCUCCAUGGUUAUUCCAAACCAGGACUAAGCCAGGAGGUGUUCCAAAAAUAUAUCACUAUAUUUUGGCCUGAGUGUCACUUCCCCACUUGGCAAGCUAGGGCUAGAGAAAUUGGAACAGAGAUUUCCUGUUAGCCUGUCUUGUAUUCUCUCCUCUCAGAUAUACAUCUUUGACUUGUCCCAUCUCCAAUGACACAGUUGCCCCAGCUUUUAUAAUUAUUUGUACAUAUCAGAAAGGAGCAGAAGCUGUACAUUUUGUCUCCAACCUUCUCCAAAAUAAUUUCAGCCAAACUGUUCUCUUCACACUAAAAUGUUUUUAAGUGAAUAAAUGACCAACUGAAUGAA